rnacentral:rRNA from 1 species
UACGUAGGUGGCAAGCGUUGUUCGGAAUUACUGGGCGUAAAGGGCGCGUAGGCGGUCUUUUAAGUCUUGUGUGAAAUCCCUCGGCUCAACUGAGGAACUGCACGGGAUACUGGAAGACUUGAGUUCGGGAGAGGGAAGCGGAAUUCCGGGUGUAGCGGUGAAAUGCGUAGAUAUCCGGAGGAACACCGGUGGCGAAGGCGGCUUCCUGGACCGACACUGACGCUGAGGCGCGAAAGCUAGGGGAGCAAACGGG